GCUGAUAUGACCAUUCCCAAGGGCUUGAACAUGGCCACAUAAAGAGGACCUUUCUUGUCUAAGCACCAUGUCAAAACGUUGUAACGGAAGACACUUCCGGAAACCGCGGAGAAAACAAUGGCUAUCAUCCCAAUCCCAGGCUUCACCAUCCAUGUCUUUGGAUUGCUUUCUAAUGCCAGAGUUAAAAUUGCACAUUGAAUACUCCCAAAGAAGCAAGUAAAA
rnacentral:misc_RNA from 1 species